rnacentral:rRNA from 1 species
GACGAACGCUGGCGGCGUGCUUAACACAUGCAAGUCGAACGGAAAGGCCCUGCUUUUGUGGGGUGCUCGAGUGGCGAACGGGUGAGUAACACGUGAGUAACCUGCCCUUGACUUUGGGAUAACUUCAGGAAACUGGGGCUAAUACCGGAUAGGAGCUCCUGCUGCAUGGUGGGGGUUGGAAAGUUUCGGCGGUUGGGGAUGGACUCGCGGCUUAUCAGCUUGUUGGUGGGGUAGUGGCUUACCAAGGCUUUGACGGGUAGCCGGCCUGAGAGGGUGACCGGCCACAUGGGGACUGAGAUACGGCCCAGACUCCUAGGGGAGGCAGCAGUGGGGAAUAUUGCACAAUGGGCGGAAGCCUGAUGCAGAAACGCCGGGGGGGGAUGACGGCCUUCGGGUUGUAAACCGCUUUCGCCUGUGACGAAGCGUGAGUGACGGUAAUGGGUAAAGAAGCACCGGCUAACUACGUG